GCCCGGGUUGCUCAGUCGGUAAAGCAUCUGACUUUGGCUCAGGUCAUGAUCUCAUGGUCCGUGAGUUCGAGCCCCACAUUGGGUU
rnacentral:tRNA from 1 species